UACGAAGGGGGCAAGCGUUGUUCGGAAUUACUGGGCGUAAAGGGCGCGCAGGCGGCUGAUCAAGUCAGAUGUGAAAGCCCGGGGCUCAACUCCGGAAUUGCCUUUAAAACUGCAUCGCUAGAGUUGUGGAGAGGUAAGUGGAAUUCCGAGUGUAGAGGUGAAAUUCGUAGAUAUUCGGAAGAACACCAGUGGCGAAGGCGACUUACUGGACACAUACUGACGCUGAGGUGCGAAAGCGUGGGGAGCAAACAGG
rnacentral:rRNA from 1 species